CCCUUAGAUGUCCUGGGCCGCACGCGCGUUACACUGAUGCAUUCAACGAGCUUAUAACCUUGGCCGAGAGGCCUGGGCAAUCUUGUUAACGUGCAUCGUUAUAGGGAUAGAUUAUUGAAAUUAUUAAUCUUGAACGAGGAAUUCCUAGUAAACGCAGAUCAUCAAUCUGCAUUGAUUACGUCCCUGCCCUUUGUACACACCGCCCGUCGCACCUACCGAUUGGAUGGUCCGGUGAAGCCUCGGGAUUGUGGUUCUUGCCGCUUUAUUGUGGCGUGACCGCGAGAACUUGUCUAAACCUUAUCAUCUAGAGGAAGGUGAAGUCGUAACA
rnacentral:rRNA from 1 species